UACGUAGGAUGCAAGCGUUGUUCGGAAUUACUGGGCGUAAAGAGUACGUAGGCGGCAUAUCAAGUCUGAUAUUAAAGACCGGGGCUUAACUUCGGGAAUGUAUCGGAAACUGAUAAGCUAGAGGACAGUAGAGGAAACCGGAAUUCUCAGUGUAGCGGUGAAAUGCGUAGAUAUUGGGAAGAACACCAGUGGCGAAAGCGGGUUUCUGGGCUGUUACUGACGCUGAGGUACGAAAGUGUGGGGAGCAAACGGG
rnacentral:rRNA from 1 species